UACGUAGGGUGCGAGCGUUAAUCGGAAUUACUGGGCGUAAAGCGUGCGCAGGCGGUUUUGUAAGCCAGAUGUGAAAUCCCCGGGCUUAACCUGGGAAUGGCAUUUGGGACUGCAAGGCUUGAGUGCGGCAGAGGAGACUGGAAUUCCUGGUGUAGCAGUGAAAUGCGUAGAGAUGCGGAGGAACACCGAUGGCGAAGGCAGCCCCCUGGGCCAACACUGACGCUCAGGCACGAAAGCGUGGGGAGCAAACAGG
rnacentral:rRNA from 1 species